rnacentral:rRNA from 1 species
UGAGGAAUAUUGGUCAAUAGGGCGGCGAGCCUCGAACCAACGCCAACGUAAGCGUGAAGGAAUGAAGGUCCUAUGGAUUGUUAAACUUACUUUUAUUAGUAGAAUAAAGUAGAGCCACGUGUGGUUUUUUGUUANGUAUACUAUGAAUAAGGAUCGGCUAACUCCGUGCCAGCAGCCGCAGUAAU